rnacentral:rRNA from 1 species
GACGAACGCUGGCGGCGUGCUUAACACAUGCAAGUCGAACGGAAAGGCCCUGCUUUUGUGGGGUGCUCGAGUGGCGAACGGGUGAGUAACACGUGAGUAACCUGCCCUUGACUUUGGGAUAACUUCAGGAAACUGGGGCUAAUACCGGAUAGGAGCUCCUGCUGCAUGGUGGGGGUUGGAAAGUUUCGGCGGGUGGGGAUGGACUCGCGGCUUAUCAGCUUGUUGGUGGGGUAGUGGCUUACCAAGGCUUUGACGGGUAGCCGGCCUGAGAGGGUGACCGGCCACAUUGGGACUGCGGUACGGCCCAGACUCCUACGGGAGGCAGCAGUGGGGAAUAUUGCACAAUGGGCGGAAGCCUGAUGCAGCAGCGCCGCGUGCGGGAUGACGGCCUUCGGGUUGUAAACCGCUUUCGCCUGUGACGAAGCGUGAGUGACGGUAAUGGGUAAAGAAGCACCGGCUAACUACGUG